rnacentral:lncRNA from 1 species
UGCCUCUUUGUUGUGAAUGAGUUGCCUCUCAUUGUUGGUGUGCAACCAGACACCGGCAGCGGGAUAGAGAGUGUGCCUGGAAGCAACGCAGCAGGAGCUUCCGAGGCUGAAGGGCGACGUGGAAGGAGGGUCGAGCCAGAGACCUGGCUCAGGGAUUUUGCCUAGGGGGCCUUUGGUUUCUUUACCGCCUGUGCUCACUCAGUCGCUGGCUCAUCGUGGAUGCACGAGGUUGCGUUUACAGAAGGUUUCCAGUGCUGCUAGGAAGUUGUUUGUAAAUACGAAGCGCCGUGUAUCAUCUUGCGUAAGGAUGACAGCUUCUGGUAGACCUGCCCUUGACUCCACUCCGAGUGCAGCUUGUCGGAGACAGGAAGUUUAUUUACUGGUUCAAGAUGUGUCUGUCGGGCAGCGGUUAUGUACCAGCAUUUUGUAGGUUUUGGAAACAGAGCAGCAGACAAAGUGGGUAAACGUCCCCGCCCUCCUGGAAGUUAGGUUCGAGCUGGGAGCACGUCUUCUAAAUCAGAGAGCACAAGUGGAACGCGUGCCGGGUCCUGAACCCACUGAGCAAGGCCAGGGAUCGAACCCACAACCUCAUGGAUACUAGUCAGGUUUGUAACCCACUGAGCCACAACAGGAACGCCAAGGUUAGUUUUGAUGAGGAGACUUAGACGGAGAAGUUCUAAUAUUUGCUUAGCAUUAUUUUUGUUGAUUUAGAGGUAACAUAAUUUUAGAGACAGUAUUGGGUUGUCAGGACACCGCACUUUCUGUCUUUGAAUCAUUUUCUUCUUUGUUUAUGAAAGUCUAUUGAAUAUUAAUUAUAUACUUUAUUUCAAGCAAACUCAAUGUUAUGAAAUAUUUGUGCUUAUGAUUUGCUUAAUGAAAAAGACACGGGAUUCCUCAAAUAGCCAGCUUUUCUAGUAGAAUCAAGAUAAUGAUUUGAGCUACACACAGCUGUAUAAGCGCAUGUCCCUGCACAGCAUGCUAGACAGGGAUUAGGCCGAGGUCAAGAGCACAGGCUUCGGAGUCAGAGAACACAGCUGCAGCUUAGGGCCUGGCUUUGCCUCUUGUGGCCUGUGGGACCGUACUUCCCGCGGGGGUGAUGGUCCUCAGGGCGGUGGGAAAGAUGAAUGUGAAAUUCUGCCCAGGAGGUGCUUAGCCUGGUGCCCGACAGGCAGCAAGUGCUUCCGGCACAUCCGUUGCUGGUGGAUGAUUUUAGGGAUCAGUACAACGAACUGCUGUCUGUGGCUAGAGACCGGAAUCCUGCUGUCUCUCAAGCUUCAUUUACUGCUCUCUGAUCUCAGACUCCAGCCACAGCGAGCUCGUGGGGCAAGUCCCCUGAAAUUCCACGGCCCCCUCCUGCUCUAAAUGUGUGCCUGUGAUCGUCCGCAUCGAACCUCCUUCUCCUCCCUUCUUUUUCUCCGGACUCACUGCUCCUUCAGGGCUCGGCUGGGGGAGUUCUCCUCCAGGAAGCCUGGGGCGGAGGCUUCGGCCCUCGUGCCUCCCCAGAGGCCCGUGCACACCUCUCUCGGCGUCCACACUGCGGUGUGAGGGGCCGUGUACCCGCAGUCUCUCUAUCGAAGGGCACUGUGUUCGGCUUCAGAAAUGCCGUGUGGUGGUGGACAAGACAGACCUGUUCUCCAGGCAAGUGCAUCCUGCACGUUUGGGGAAGACAAAUAUUUAAAUAAUCGCGAGCAAGCACAGGGCUUCGGGAGAGCCGUGCACGCAGUGGAACAGCAGCAGCUCUGGACCUCCUGUGGACACGCCGGAGAAGCCUUUUGCUAAGGAAGUGGUGUUUAUUUAAGUCGAAACCUGGGAGUCAGCAAGGAAAAAAAAAAGGAAGAGUUCCAGGUAGAGAAACCCGCCUGGGUGGGUGACUUUGGGCCCGUUAUUUAGCUUCUCUGGGCAUCUGCUUUCUCAUUCGUAACAGGGCAGUAGGGUGACUGCCUCCUCGGAUUGCGCUGCGCACAAAUGCGGUUUCAAGCCCUCGUCUUCGGAGGCCUCUUUCUGCUGGGAAGCGCAGUCAGGUCCCAGAGCCCCAUUCCCGGGUCCCGUUUGCUUGUCGAGUUGCCGGGUGUGGGGAUCCACUCACCGUGCCUCUCCUGGUAGCGGGCCCUUGCCCUGUCCCAAAGCCCUGCUCGUGUUUUGAUGACGAGAGCAGGGUGUUCGCUUUUGCUUCCCUGUUCGUUUGUUUGACGUGUGCAGACCCAGCUGUGCCUCUCGUCGCCUGCCCAGCUCCGGCUGUGCCAAAGCUUUGCGGUCCCUGCGUGUUACAGGUUGGAGUCUUUCGCCUUUGAGGAACAGAGACGCCAACUCAGUGACUUAAACAGGCGGGAUUUCAGAUAAUAGGACGUCUGCAAGGCUGGUUGAUGCAGCAGCUCGGGACCCAGGUUCAUUUUAUGUUCCUGCCCUGCCAUGCUCAGAACAUCGGCUUGUCCCCGCUGGCGCCCCCGGUCUCAGGUGGUCUGCUGCCGUCCCGCGUGUCACAGAUAGCUGCCAGAAUCCCCAGCCGAGGAAGAGUGGCUGCCUCUUUCCUUGUCUCUCUCUUCAUCGGUGGCCUUUUGGGUCGUUUCCACCUUUUGGCUCUUGUGAGUAAGGCUGGUAGGAGAAAGGAAACCGUGCCAGCUUCAUUCAGCCUGCCCGCUCCAGAGGGUGGCGGUGGCCUGUUGGGGGAAAGCACCAGAGUGGGAGUGAGAGUUCCUCGUUCAGGCUUUACUUUGCCCUUGACUGCUAGGAAUCAAGGUGUUUCCUUCUGAAACACGUUCGUGAGUCACCAUGGGGUUUCCAGCAGAGCACUGCCUGGAACCAGACUCACACCAGACAGGCGGGUCAUCCCCGAACAAGCCCAUCCCAGCGGAACCAGAAAACUGGGCCUUGCCUUCCUUAAUUGGAGCCUGACUUAGAGUCAGAUAUUGAACUGCAAAGAAAGUAUUAGCCAUUCAGCAAAAGAAUUUAAAUUACGGGUCUGUCCAUAUUUAGCGUUUCUUGCAAUCAUUUCCACUGUAUGUAACACUGAAAUCCUUUGUGGUUGUCUGCCGCAGAAAUGAAUCUUUGACCCGGCAACUUUAAAUGUGCUUGACACCCCUGGGACUUUUGAGGAUGCUUAAUUUAAUCUGGGCCGGUCUAGAGGCGGGGGCCGGGGUGAGGGAGAGUGCUCUCCUUUCGUGUGGAAGGUUAUGCAGCUUGUCAGCAGAGGCCCGUGCUCCUGGAACUCCUGUUACUAGGCAGUAGUUACAGGCACAGGAAGUAUCGUAUUCUAACUUGUGUUUCAGGAGGCAGUAGGGAACCAGCCAAGCGCAGAGAGGAGUGGAGGUGACCGGCAAGGAGGGCCCUGCAGCGCUGCAGGUGCUGAGGGUUUUAUCAAAGUAGGGGAGAAGGAGAGGCUGCAGUGUUCUGCUGGGGGCUCUGACUUCCUCUGCAUGGCUCGCUGACCACAUGCCUCUCCAGCAGCCACUGGGGGGUAGGGGCUAUAAAUUGCCCCUCUCCUUCCGCAUCUCAUGGGUUAUCUCUUUAGUUUAACUGAUUCUUAUUUGUCUCUUGUGCUAACUUCGUUCUUGUCAAGCAGGGACUUGUCCUGCCAAAGAGAGCAGGAAGGUCACUUGACCGGGCCCUCUGGUUCCUUGUCUAGACAGCGUCCUCGGCCCUGUCCCUCAGGGACUCAGCUUGUUUAGACUCAUGAACCUCCCUGAAGGGAAGGAGGAGGCAUUAGAGACACACGGAACUCAGCCAGCGUCUCUGAAUGACAGUGAAUUUUGAGCUCUCAUUGUAACUUUCCACUGAUCUGCUGUGCGUGUCUCUUCUCUGAGCCUCGUCCUCUGGUUGGUAGCGUGCAGAUGUGCUGACCCUGGAGGAAGCUCGUGAAGAACUCAUGAGAGAGGCCGGACCUCUGCAAGGGUAGAGCAGAGUCUUUCCAAGGGUCACUGCUGACCGAGUGCCACUGGAGGGGGUCGAGGAGGGGCGUGAGGCUGCACGGCCUCCCUCUGGGGGCUAAACGUAGCUCCUCGCGAGGAGCUGAGACGCGCAUAGGGCAGCGCGUGUGCGGCGCGUGGCUUCAGGGCAGCGGUAGGUGGGUGUGAUGGAUGGACUCACGGGGUCCUCAAAGGCCACGCUUCCCCUGUAGGGACGCUGUGGUCCAGAAUCGCUCUGUUAAAUGGGGGUCGGUGCCCUCAUUUACACUCUUUUAGAUUAAGUGACUCUUAUUUGCUGUCAUAGAUACUCUUCAGUUAUUUGAGAAAAAGGCUGUGUUUUUCAAAGAGACGAAGAGAAUGUGGGACAUGGUAGGUGUCUCCUGAUAGAGGUCCACAAGCCACCUGUAAAGUAGCCUUGCAGGCUCGAACAGAACCUGAGUUUGUUUAAAAAACAAAAACAAAAAACACCUCUAGACCUUACUAUGGAUUUAGAGGGAAUCCGAGGGACAGAAACACAGUAAAUGUUUUUUUAGGGAUGCAGUCAGUAAAUUCCAAACUACUUUAUGGGACAAACUAGUUUCUUCAACAAAUAAAUAAUAAGGGGGGGGAGGAUGGAGAGGCCUCCUGUAGAUUAAAAAGAGACUUGAGAUGAAUGAACCAAUAGAAAUAUGUGGAUCUGAUUCAAACAAAAACAAUGCAGGGGAAAAUGUGGAUACUGGCUGAUUAUUUUAUGGUAUUAGGAAGCUUAUCGGGAGUUCCCUUUGUGGCUUAGUGGUAACAAACCCGACUAGUAUCCAUGAGGAUGCAGGUUGGAUCCCUGGCCCUGCUCAGUGGGUUCAGGAUCCGGCCCUGCCACGAGCUAUGGUGUAGGUUGCAGACAUGGCUCAUAUCCCACCUUGCUGUGGCUGUGGCAUGGGCUGGCAGCUGCACCUCUGAUUUGACCCCUAGCCUGGGAACUUCCAUAUGCUGCG